CAGUCGCCGCGGUAAUACGGAGGGUGCAAGCGUUAAUCGGAAUUACUGGGCGUAAAGCGCACGCAGGCGGUCUGUCAAGUCGGAUGUGAAAUCCCCGGGCUCAACCUGGGAACUGCAUUCGAAACUGGCAGGCUAGAGUCUUGUAGAGGGGGGUAGAAUUCCAGGUGUAGCGGUGAAAUGCGUAGAGAUCUGGAGGAAUACCGGUGGCGAAGGCGGCCCCCUGGACAAAGACUGACGCUCAGGUGCGAAAGCGUGGGGAGCAAACAGGAUUAGAUACCCCCAGUAGUCCCUGUCUCUUAUA
rnacentral:rRNA from 1 species